UACGUAGGUGGCAAGCGUUGUCCGGAUUUAGCUGGGUGUAAAGGGCGUGUAGGCCUGGGCUGACAAGUCAGAUGUGAAAUCCACGGGCCUCAACCCGUGAACUGCGAUUUGAACUGUUUCCCUUGAGUGUCGGAGAGGGUAAUCGGAAUUCCUAGUGUAGCGGUGAAAUGCGUAGAUAUUAGGAGGAACACCAGUGGCGAAGGCGGCCUGCUGGACAUUAACUGACGCUGAGGCGCGAAAGCGUGGGGAGCAAACAGG
rnacentral:rRNA from 1 species